GAGUAUUAAAAAAUUGUUAUAGGGGUAUUUUAUCCACUAAAAUUUUUUUUAAAAAAAAUUAAUUAAUCAGAAGGAACUCGGCAAUUUAAUGCUUCGCCUGUUUAUCAAAAACAUGGCUCUUUGUUUAUAUAAUAUAAAGAGUCGAACCUGCCCAGUGAAUUUUCAACGGCCGCGGUACUCUGACCGUGCAAAGGUAGCAUAAUCAUUUGCCUUAUAAUUGAAGGCUAGUAUGAAUGGUUUGACGAGAGCAAUACUGUCUCCUUUUUAUUUUCAAGAACUUAACUUUUAGGUGAAGAGGCCUAAAUUUUAUUGAAGGACAAGAAGACCCUGUCGAGCUUAAAAGAUCAUAUAGGAGUCUAUAUAUCUUUAGAUAAAUUUCUACUAAGCUUUUUAGUUGGGGCGACUGAGGAACAAAAAAAGCUUCUUCCUAAAAAUAAACAAUCACGUUUAGAUCCGAUAACAGCGAUUAAAGGAAUUAGUUACCGCAGGGAUAACAGCAUAAUCCCUCUCAAGAGACCUAAUCGAAAGAAGGGGGUUGUGACCCUCGAUGUUGGACUAGAA
rnacentral:rRNA from 1 species